UACGGAGGGUGCAAGCGUUAUCCGGAAUCAUUGGGUUUAAAGGGUCCGCAGGCGGAUUUAUAAGUCAGUGGUGAAAGCCUGAUGCUCAACAUCAGAACUGCCAUUGAUACUGUAAGUCUUGAAUUCGGUCGAAGUGGGCGGAAUGUGACAUGUAGCGGUGAAAUGCUUAGAUAUGUCACAGAACACCGAUAGCGAAGGCAGCUCACUAGGCCUGGAUUGACGCUCAUGGACGAAAGCGUGGGGAGCAAACAGG
rnacentral:rRNA from 1 species